GCGCUGUCAUUUAGAACCGAGAAUUCUGGUCCUCCUUUGAGCUCCAGAGGAGACCUCCCCGCUGCUCUCAGCCCCACUCAAACGUAUAGACACAGUCGCAAUUAAUUUGGUUUCCCGCUUCGUUCCACACUCCCGGACUCUGGACCGUGUUCGGUUUUCAUCUAAAGUUGGGGUUCGAUCCAAAGCGGGUUCAUGCUAGCGGGCUAACGGUCCAGUUGGCGGCUCCAGACGCAGCGCGGAGACCCGUGGGAGAAGGAACCCCCCCCGGUACACUGCAUUCAACAUUACCCGCGGUCUGUCGGCAAAUCGCUCCGGUGCCGCCCUGUUAGCUCCCGGCAAACAACCAGAACAAGACCGCAGUGCGUCCUCCGAGUUCUGCUACUGAAGGCCUUCCUGAAAAUCAACACUCCGUCCCUCACACUGAAGCAUGGAAGCGAAAAGAAAUGGCAGCUACUGCCCGGAUCGGACCAGACCGGACAGGACCGUUAGUACACCGAGCCCCGCGCUCAAAGCCAGGGGGACAGCGGGGCAGCGUCCGUGCUGUUCUCACCUGCAGCUGGAGAUGGACCUGACCAGCCACGGAGCUCCUCCCCCGGCGCAGGCGACCUUAGUCCCGCAGAAAGCGUCUAGCCGAAACCGCAAGUCUGAGCAGAUCAGAACCAGGAGCCGCUGCGGUACAGGGAUCCAAACUUAGCAGGCCGGAGGCGCACCAGGGGCCUUCAAAAUAAAACACCACCGGAAGCUUUGACCGUGCCACGUUUCACAGCCAAAACAAAAGUCUGAUUUUGACAAGAAAAAUAAUAAAUAUGUAAAAUAAUACAUGAAAUAUAAAUAAUAAAAUACAAUCAUUACUUUGCAGUUGUGUGGAUGACCUGACGAGAUGUAUUACUGAGCCUUAAUGAAAUAAUGUUUAGAUUUAAAUGGACUAUCCGUGGCAGACAUAAGAUCCUGUCCACAUUUGUUAUUGGAGAAAUCACACAUCAAUGUAAUGGUAGGGUCAUCUUGACCUAUAAGAGAGCACAAGGGUUAAAGUAAUUUUAAAUUAUUGAAAAAAAUAAUUUUGUUAAAACUGACUUUUCAACAAGGGGGUUAGUAAGUAAUGUCAGAGCUUGUAUUUAAUUUAUUUUUGUAUCUCAUUUAUGUUUUAUAUUUCUGUAUUUUAUUUAAAAAAUGUAAAGAGUCUAAUGCUGUUAUCCCAAUACAAAUGUUGUAUGGUGCUGACCAAAUCCCAAAUAAAAUGUAACAUUUACAUA